rnacentral:lncRNA from 1 species
CCGCCAUUCCUCCACACCACAGCGUUCACUAUUCCCAUCCAGUAGCUUCCCCAACCCACCCACCGGCUUACCCACCCACUCACGGCCAGCACCACCGCCACCCCCACCCACACCCACCCACUGCCUCCCCGGUGCACCCACCAGCCCACUCUCCGUUUCACCCACCAAGCCCCCACCACCACCACGGCCACCCACCGGUUCACCCUCCUAUGUACCCACCUAAGAAACCUUUCCCAAGGAGCUUUGUAGCGGUUCAAGGCGUCGUUUACUGCAAAUCUUGCAACUACUCCGGCGUCGACACCCUUAACGGCGCCAAGCCAGUUCUUGGUUAGUCUAAAAUUUGUUUACUUUUUACAUAAUUUCAAAACAAAAAAAUGUACAUAUUUUGCAUAUAUAAAUAAACAAAAAAUUAGUGUUCUUGGUUUAGUCCAAAUUAGUCUAAUUUUUACAUUAUGCACCUAAAAAUAGUGUUCUCUUCAUGUCCAUAGGUACACAGCCAUUUUAUGAAAAUUACAAACAUCACAUGGUUUUGUUUUACUCAUUUUUCUAAUAAUUUGUUUGAAUUGUUUUUUUUUUUUGGGCAGGUGCUACAGUAAAGCUACAGUGCAACAACAGAAAGUUCCCAUUGGUUGUGAAGGAAACCACAGAUAAAAAUGGCUACUUUUUUAUCACGGCACCUAAGACCAUCACCACCUUUGGAGCUCACAAGUGCAAGGUGUCACUCGUCUCCUCUCCUUCCGUCGCCUGCUCCAAGCCGUCCGAUCUGCAUGGUGGACU